GAGGGUAUAGCUCAGUGGUAGAGUGUGUGCUUAGCACACAUAAGGUACUGGGUUCAAUCCCUAGCACCUCCA
rnacentral:tRNA from 1 species